rnacentral:ncRNA from 1 species
GGAAAAUCGAUGACAAAGAGUAGUACAUUUGAAUUUCGUGCAUAGAGAAUCUGUGGUUGGUGAAAACAGAGGACGAAACAAAUGGAAUGGACUUUGGAGUAGCUUUAUGAACGUUAGUAGUAAAGCUCGUUAGCUUCACGUUACGAAGUCUAAGUGGUCGAGCAAUCGACAAGCUGGGUGGUACCGCGGAUUUUAAACAUCAUUCGUCCCAUUA